rnacentral:rRNA from 1 species
UACGGAGGAUGCAAGCGUUAUCCGGAAUUAUUGGGCGUAAAGGGUCCGCAGGUGGUCAUUCAAGUCUGCUGUUAAAGCGUGGAGCUUAACUCCAUAUCGGCGGUGGAAACUGAGUGACUGGAGUUCAGUAGGGGUUGCGGGAAUUCCCAGUGUAGCGGUGAAAUGCGUAGAUAUUGGGAAGAACACCGGCGGCGAAAGCGCGCAACUGGGCUGAGACUGACACUGAGGGACGAAAGCUAGGGGAGUGAAAGGG